UACGUAGGAGGCGAGCGUUGUCCGGAAUCACUGGGUGUAAAGCGCGUGUAGGCGGCCUGCCAAGUCUGCUGUGAAAGCGCCUGGCUUAACCGGGCGAGGUCGGUGGAAACUGGCGGGCUGGAGGACGGUAGAGGGGGGUGGAAUUCCCGGUGUAGUGGUGAAAUGCGUAGAGAUCGGGAGGAACACCAGUGGCGAAGGCGGCCCCCUGGGCCGGUCCUGACACUGAGGCGCGAAGGCGUGGGGAGCAAACAGG
rnacentral:rRNA from 1 species